rnacentral:rRNA from 1 species
CUACGACCAUAUCACACUGGCUUACCGGUUCUCGUCCGAUCACCGAAUUAAAGCAGCGUCGAGCUCAGUUGAGUACUUGGAUGGGUGACCGCCUGGGAAUGCGGGUGUUGUAG